AGCGCUGCGCUAGCGUGUUACUGCCAUGUCUUAGUGAUUUUUACUAGAAUGUUUUUUUUUUUUUAACUGGCCCUGUUAGUUCUGUGCUAGCAUUGGUGCUGUGCUAGCAUGUUGCUACGGUGUUACUGCCGUGUCUCACUGAUAUCUACCGAACUCUUGGAGAUGAUGAUUUGUUUGUUUUCUGGAAACAACGCCGCUCCACAUUCGUGUCAACACGUCGCACGGCCAAAUGGAGCCGUCUGUCUUUUACAAGAAGCAAUUUUCUUGUUGCACGAACCUUCUUGGGAAGUUGAUGGCGUGAAGCUAGUACACCGGGUCACCCUUCCGUGCGCCGCAUUUACUCCUUGACUCUACGCUGCUGGGCCGCAGAGAAUGAGGCCCGCCCUCCUCGGGUUCAGCGGCGCAUUCAGAAGAAGAAUUAUAAUUACCUCCUUCAAAUUCAACUCUUCACCUUGCUUCGUCGUUCCAUCUGCGGCGAGCGUCACAAAGAUUUGAACCUGAAGCUCGGCUAAAGGCCUCCGCCGGACGCCGACGCUCGGCUCGCGGCCCGCCGCCAGAGGUCGCUCGACAUAAUCUGCGUCAUUCCCGUCCGAAGAACCAUCCGCGGCUGCCGGCCCGGAGCUCCAGGGGCCUUUGUUUAUGCACUUACGUCCCACGCGUAGUCCUCCGAGUAGUCAGACUCCAGCAUCAUUCCGCCUGAAGAACCAUAUUCAACAUUAUUUACAGCCACAGGUUCAAAUCUGUAUGAAAGUAUUCCUCUGUCUUCCCGAUCAACGAUUCUGCUAUUUCUUCAUCAGAUGAGGACAAAUCCGAGAAAUCAGCACUGGGCAUAAAUGGUGUCCCAUGUAAUCGAGCCUUUGGUGCAGCACCUUACACGUCACAUCUACGCACAGGUAGAAGGCGAAUCCCGACAAGAUGAGGGCAAAAAAAGGAACCAAGAUGGCCGCUGCCACAGAGCUGCUGUUCGUGUAGGGGUUGGAUGGAUCUAUCACCGUGGUUACAGGGCCUGAC